UACGAAGGGGGCUAGCGUUGCUCGGAAUCACUGGGCGUAAAGGGUGCGUAGGCGGGUCUUUAAGUCAGGGGUGAAAUCCUGGAGCUCAACUCCAGAACUGCCUUUGAUACUGAGGAUCUUGAGUUCGGGAGAGGUGAGUGGAACUGCGAGUGUAGAGGUGAAAUUCGUAGAUAUUCGCAAGAACACCAGUGGCGAAGGCGGCUCACUGGCCCGAUACUGACGCUGAGGCACGAAAGCG
rnacentral:rRNA from 1 species